AAGUUGCAUUGUCGGAAUUUCCUGAAAAUAAUGGGAAGAAGAAUUUUUUCUGGCCAGACACCUAAUACGAUUUGGACUUUCUGCCUUCAAAUGAUGGAGCUGUCUGAUCAUACUGUCUAAAAGCCAAAAGCUAGCAACCUGGGGGAGAGACAAGCACCCCUGGGUUGGACCUGUUCAUCCUGAGUGCUGGAAACUGCCAAACAACCAUACCAAUAAGUUGGGGUUUGGGAGAGCCUCCCACUAUGAGCUUUGCCAGGGGGAGGCCCUUUAUUCUGGACACACAGACUUUUGCCCCUCCUCUUGUCCCAGAACAAUCAGAGCAUGCAAGGACAGAAACUAUGCUUUUUAUUUCUUCUUGCAAAUAUCUUUUGAGUGCCAAGCUAAUGAAGAGAGCACCCACUCACUGCUCUGCACCCCAUCCUGUAAAGCUUAGGCAAGAGUCUAUUACCUUAAGGGAAUCUCUGGGAAACAGGAUUUUAUUGU